AAAUAUAAAGGAAGAUAUAAGCUGUAAGUGCUGGCAAUUUUCUUUUUUCCCACUACAUAGAGAAGACUUCUGUGGUUGAAGAUAGUGAAAUGAAGCUAUAGAAAGAAAAAGUCACCCACUGUUUUGAGGUCUGGAGAAGAGGAGAAUCCAGGAAACAAGAAUGAAGAAGCAGAUUUUCCAGAGCCACCCUGAAUUAUCUGUCUCAUAUACGUGUGGAGACUGAAGCUCCAAGGUGCAAGGUACCUUGCCCAAGGUCACAGAACUGGAAAACAGUGAAGAGAAAAAUUCAGAUCCACCUGACUGCAAA